GAUGAACGCUGGCGGCGUGCUUAACACAUGCAAGUCGAACGGAAAGGCUCCUGCUUGCAGGGGCACUCGAGUGGCGAACGGGUGAGUAACACGUGGGUGAUCUGCCCUGCACUUCGGGAUAAGCCUGGGAAACUGGGUCUAAUACCGGAUAGGACCAUCGUUUAGUGUCGGUGGUGGAAAGUUUUUUCGGUGUUGGAUGAGCUCGCGGCCUAUCAGCUUGUUGGUGGGGUAAUGGCCUACCAAGGCGUCGCCGGGUAGCCGGCCUGAGAGGGUGUACGGCCACAUUGGGACUGAGAUACGGCCCAGACUCCUACGGGAGGCAGCAGUGGGGAAUAUUGCACAAUGGGCGCAAGCCUGAUGCAGCGACGCCGCGUGGGGGAUGACGGCCUUCGGGCUGUAAACUCCUUUCGCCAGGGACGAAGCGAAAGUGACGGUACCUGGAUAAGAAGCACCGGCUAACUACGUG
rnacentral:rRNA from 1 species